UCAAACGCUAGGAUCAGGAGCAGUAGGACCGGUCCGGAACCUUCAGAGAGCUGCGGCAAGGUGCGACGCAGCCGAAGGGCCGAUCCGAACUCGCCUGGGAGCGGAAUCGGGGAGGGCAAGGCCGCUGCGGCCGAGCCGGUACCCGGUUACGGCUGUCCCCCGUCAUCGGGAUG
rnacentral:sRNA from 1 species